ensembl:lncRNA
CAAAGAAAGCCCUGCAGCUUGUUCUAAGAGCAGCUUUUCCACAGCCAGAUUGGUCUUUUAAACAAAGUGGUGUAACUGCACCUAACGCUGUGUUUGCGUAGUAAAUGUUUGUAGAGCUCUAAGGGAGACCAGGAGCAUCUAGGUGAGUGCACUGCGCUGCCACACUGGGGUUCUGCUGAAGACAGGAGCACUGUCUGGAUCAGGUCCCUCUCUGCAGACUCCUUUGUUUGCAGAGAUGGAAGCGACUGUUUCUUUUAUAAGGCCUAACUAGAUGUUUGUGAAAAGCUUUGAGACGCUUUUGAUUAACGACUAUGCAGUAUGUGAUUAUAUCACACAUAAUAAUAGUGGGUAGGAGGAGACAGACUGGCAGCGUAAUUCUUGCAGCAUUGUGAAAACUUCAGGCUUUGUUCUUCUUCAAACACUGUCUUUACAUUUAAACACGAUUUUUCUCUGCCGCUUCCCCUAGUCUUUAUCUCCUCCAACUAAAAAAAAAUACCAAAAAACCAAAAAAGAAGCAUUUCUCUACCUUUAUUUAAAAAUUAAAAAAAAAAAAAAAAAAAAGAAAGAAAGGAAAAGGAAGAAGAGGGAGUGAGGGAAGAAAAAGUGCCGGACGUGUAUCUGCUGUUUUGGCUAGUGUAGUUGUAUGAUACUUGAAUGAUCGGUGCUGUUCUGCUUUUACCAAAAUCGGAGCCACGCUCUUCUCCUCUAAGUUUGAGAUUGAGUGGGUGACGGUUUUGAACCUCAGAAACUGAUUUUCCCUGUUUUUCUUUUCUUCAUUUUGCAUGGUAACCUCUUGGCUGGAAAUUUAUAGUCAGGAGGUUGCUGUAGCCUGUAAUGUGAGCUCAGAUUUUUGUGACAGGAACAUUUGUUCCAGGGGGCUCCUUUUACAGCUGGGCGGGGGUUUGGGUGGAGUUGUGCUGUGGCAGAAGGGCCGCUUGGGAGCCUGGCAGCUUCUUGUGCAGGGAUGCGGUUAGUUAAGUGUUGUCCAAAUUUGAGAUUCUUCUGGAUGUCCAGCAGUGCUUUCCAGAAAGCUUACAGCUCUGCAGAGGAACCAGUGGUGUUUUCUCCUGCAGCUUCAUUUAGUGGUGCUCCGCAGGGCUUGCACGCUUGUUUCUAUGAGGGCAGGCAGGUGGGCCUGUGCACACUCCAGUUUUGUUGCUUCUGUUCUCCCCAGUAUAACUUUUAUUGCCAAUCAUUUGAUUUAUAAACCAGGAUCCCAGGAGGCACAAAUAGCAUGCUGGUAGCCCAAGCCAGUGGAAAGUUUAAAAACAAAAACAAAAAAACAACUAAGAUACAGCGUAGCAAUGCAUUCCUAGGCAAGAGGCCUGUCAGAGAAAUCCCUCAUGGUUUGCCAGCAGGAUGGAGAUGGCCAACAAGCAUUUAACAUGCGUGCUCAUGUUGUUUCAUGUUGUUUCAUGUUCUUUGUUAGUUGUAACGCUGGAAUAACAACUGGGGACGCUCAUUUCUGUGGGCGCUCACCUGUGUGAGGUUGGUGACCAGCAGUAGGCUUCCAUCUCUGGUGGUUCCAUUGUCAGUGCAGUUUGAGAGGGAGAACAGCUUGCUUUGGUAGAAACACCAGCUUAUUCCCCAGAGGUCUUGUUCUUAUGGUCUUCCUGAAUUCUGACUUGGUGCCACCAAACAAUAAAUCAUUGCUUCCACUAAAAAUUUGUCUUUGUUUUUGGGAAACACAGUGUGUGAAAGCUGAUAGCACUGCUAGUGGGCAAUAUUACUGAUAUUACUUACUAGUGGGUGAAGAAAUUAAGCAGAUUAAGCAGAUCAACCUCUUUUAGAAAUGAACGUAACCACCCCCAAUGUUUUCCUGAAUACAUGCAAAUAUGCUUUGUCUUGAAGUGAAGUGCCUUCUGGUAUUGUCACUAAUGAGGCACACUAUCACAGACAGGUUGGCAGAGGGAAUUUGGGUAAGAGCUGACACCCUGUAUUCUAUAGAUGUGUUGUGGAAGACAGUAGACAGUUGUAGAUUGUAUUUUGGCUACAUGAUUUGUUUUUAAAAAAAUAUCUAAAUUAUAAGAUUGAUAUUAUAUGCCUAUAUGGAAAUAGAUUUUGUUUCAGGCCUUUUAGGUUUGCCCACACUUGCUCUUUAGACUGUUAAUCAGACUCAGAGUUGCUUAUAAGUUAAUCAUGCAAAAAAAGUUAAACUAGUAGCAAUACCAGUAUACUUCUUUCAGAGGAUACAACUCCAUUUUAUGUAUCUGGCAGUGCUUCUGUGGAGUUUUGUACUGUGAAAAAUAAGACAACUUUCCACUUGUAUGAUGUGUAUAAAUUCAAAAACAUAGAAUGUGGAAUAAAUAUUUCACUUAGUAUGGAGAAUUGGAGUGGGAAAACAAGAAUUCUCAAGUAACUGCAGAAAAUAAGUGGCAAAUAUCACAAAGGAGUGGAGAGUAAGAUGAAAGGGGAGGUGAGCCAGAAAUGUAAAGGUAUGGCAUGAACUGCUCUGAAGGGAGCUCAGUGUUCACAAUCGUGUUCUUUUGGAUUGUGACAACGUGGCAGCUGCAGCAGUUUUUGCUGUUGAAUGAGCUCCAAGCCUUCCUUAAAACCUGUCCAUUUUUGCAAGCAAUAGGGCUCUGAGACCUGCUGUUCCUGCUGUGCUAUACUUCUUAUUGCUACCGUGUUUAACAGAUUGAGAAAGGGUUGUAUGCUUCUUUGAAAUGUAGGUGAACAAAGAUUCCAGGGUAGGUUCACAUUUUAACUCAUAUAAAAUUUAUUCUUCGUUGCAGUAGAACAUUGACUGCUUUUUCUUAACAGUCAAUACUUGCAGCUGUAAUGAGCUCGGUCUUUGUGUGGGAGAAUAGAAAAGCAGGGAACGCUCUGUUGUGAAAAUAUACAGGGUUUUCUAUAGUAAGGAAAUUUUGGUCAGUGGCAGGGCAAUGUUUAUAGUAAUUACAGCAAAUGAAAGACACCCAUUUCUGAUGAAAGAUUUGGCGGAUGUGUUGGAAUUGUUGUAUGCAGAGACCGAUGGUAAUUACCAACUCAUGUUUCAAGUCAUUGUAUAAUGUCGGUGAUGCCAAAGUUUAGAGGCUGGUGGCCAAGGGAUGAUUAGAAGUUUAUCACCAACCAUUUUAGUGGGUUGGUUUUCUACUUUUUUUCCAGACUCCUUUUUUUUUUUUUUUUAAACUAUGACAAUAUUAAAUUCUUUGAAAUUGAAACACUUAAUCUGAUCAUUUACAUUGUAAGCUUUGGCUUCUUUCCCCCAUGCUCUUUCUUUCCUUGUAUGCCGUACCUUAAGUAUUGAGUUUCAUUAAUAAACAGUCAUUCUUGCUCAAAUCUAGCUGAUGUUAAUCUGAGCUAAAAACAAGUAUCAAUUAAUUUCUAAUGGGAUAACUUCGUGUUAAGCAGCAAUAUGGAGAAUACAGUAUCACAUGAAAAUCGCUCACAGACUUACCAACCUUAAGGUAGAUGCAACUUUGUAAUGUUUGUCCUUUUCACCUUCAUGACAUUCAGCAUAAGCAAUGUAUUUGAUACAGUGGCAGGAGAAAAUGUGCUCUAUGUGAAUCAGUUGUUGAUAAACACACCAGGCUACAGCUCGGUCACCAGUGAUGUGUUGGGGCAACAUCUUAGCAAACUCGCUUUUAGAAAUGAAUUGUUUGCUACAAGCAAACAAAGAAGGAUCAAUUUCUUUUCUCCCGAGAAACCUUGGUGGCAGUGGUGUGGUCUUAGACAGCCAUUUUUCUUUUUGCUGUUAGAAAACUUCUCUGGCCCACUUGGAAAAUUUAUUAUUUUAAGAUACCGCCUGUAAUCUUUCUCUCUGUUGUGAAAUUGAAAGGUAAUGCUAGUAUUCUCAUCUUUCUAAAAAUAUAUAUAUAUUUUUAAACUCAGACUCCCGAGUGCUAUUCUGUUGAAGCGUGUGUCAAAACAAGAGCCUGUGAUGUAAUGGAGACUUGGAAACGCUGCAGUUGUGCACUUUGAAAGAGAAGAGUAUGGCAAGAGUUAGUGCUGAAGCCACUGCAGGGGGAGAGAACUGCACUGUAUCAUUACAAGUGUUUGAAAACUUAAGAGUGUAGUGUGACCCUUAUUUGCAUCACUUAUGAUCUGAUACCACAAAUAUCUGAAUAUUGCUAAAUCUUGUUGCUUUGUUCAUAUAUAUGUACACAAUAAAUUCAUGUUCGUAUAUAUAUAUUAGUAUAAUUUUGAGGAAAUGCCACCAGCCUUAAUGGCCCCAUCACGAGAAGAGUGUUUUGCAGGGCUCUGGAGCUGGGUGUGAAAACUGCACUGCAGCAGUAUAACUAUUAGACCAUUUUCCUAGUUACUCUGCCCCCUGUUUCAUGUGCUAUCAUUUGGCCAAAUGGCUGCUGUCUGUACAUUAUUUUGCAUCUUAUUUGCUGGGCAGUAGAGCCUUACAGAGGUUGUGUGUGUGUGAGAUUGUGGUGGGGAAGUCUCUGUAGAAGGGAAAUGUGUCCUUAAAAGUUCAAAGAAUAUCUUUUUGCAAGUGUAAGCUAAUCUCUGAUUUUCCCAGAGGGUAUCGUGGCUUUCUCUGGAGUAAGUGGAAUUAGCCAACAGUGUUUAUGGGGGUAAGCCCAAAAUGAUGAGUUAAAUGGUUCUUUUUAAAGGUUAUUUUCUGAUGGUUAUCUUAAGGUGUUGAACGACGUAGGUUUUCUUUUUCUUUUUUUUUCUUCCUACUUCUGUCAAAAUUUGUAUAUAAACAGUAACAGUAUGGAGUAAAAAGCCUGAAAGAUAAAUAGGACAGCUGCUACUUAUAGCAGAGGGGAAAAUGUGCUUUAUAAUUCUUGCAUAAAAAUUGGUUCUCUGGGAUUUUUCACUAAUUAAUAUUGUAAAGUAAUGUUGCCCUUGGGAUAAUUUUAGGAGGUUGUAAAUACUCAGAAUAUUUGACUUAAAUGUGUGUUUUUCAUGUGUUUGCAGAACUAAUUCUUUAAUGUUCUCCUGACAGUUAAUCAUCUUGAAUGGUGGUCAUAAUCAGUAUUUUGCUUUUUAGAGCUGCUCUGCUGCACCCUUAUUUCUGGGGAAAAAGUAAAAGUAGUCGGAAUAAUAGAACUGAACUGAGAAGACCUUGCUAAGAAAUUGUAUGGUGGUUUCUGGGAAACGAUCUCUGUUUUUUACCUUUCUAAGGAGAAAAAAAAGGUCCUAAUUAGAUGAAUGUUGAAAGAACAGCUUCCUUUUUUUUUUUUUUUCCUUGGAAAAAGGUUCAAAUUUUGAAUACUGUAACAGAGACUAAUUAGAAGAUCUGUUGUAACCCACUGGUGGUAAGAAAUUUGCAUAUACAAAAAAAUGUAGUGACAUCUGUGUUACUGGGAAGUUUAAAA